AUGGUAAAAUACGUGGUAAAUACGUGGUAAGAAAAGGUAGAUGGGAUUGUCGAAAGUUGCAGCGUGUUGCUAAUAUUUCGUUCGGAAAUAUCGAGGCAUUUAGUUCCAGAGGCUCGGCAAAACGCGACCAUGACAGUGGAUACAUCUAUUUUGCCGAGAAAUAUUUAUUCAACGUGCGGGGUAAGUAGAAAAGCCAGGUUGUGAAUGUGCGAUUGUGAUCGCAGCUUAUUGUCUGAAUGUGCGAUUGACUAUAUUAGUCUUAUACAAUAUAGUUGCAAAAAAAUAAGUAUAUUUUUAUAUAAAUAUAUUAUAACAUAUACUGAGGUAGAUCUUGAUGAGAGAGCAAAACAAUUUUAAGUAGUGGAGGUGAAAACUUGCAUUGUUUACAUUUUCGGUAACUGCAUCUAUCCAGGUAUUUACGUGCUUUCUUUUGUUUUUAUAUGAGGUAUAUUAUUGUUUGUAUCUGAUCCUGGUAUGCUUUUCUGUUUUACUAUGCACAUUUAUUACAUUAAAAAAAAAUAGUUGCACCGAAUCCAUACGACGAUGGUUGCCGAGCAACAUCUCGGUGCUACAGAUCGUACACGAAAUCAGGAAUUCCCCACACACUUGAAGUUAGUGACGGAUUACAUUUUCUUCUCACCAAAAUCACUCAGCAAGAAUCUUUUCAGAUAGAAAGGGACACAAGGCUGCAGUCAAAUAUUUUUAAUGUGUUAUAAUUUGGAAAUCCGGUAUAAAACUCUAUUUUUCCAUCAUCUUGUGAAAAACGUUCUAACCCAAAGUUUUCGAUUUUUCUGCUGCUCUCCAUUUGCAAAUGAUGUUCUAAUUGUUGUAUCCUCUCUUGAAGAACUUUUUUACUUUAUUCUCUUCUUUUGCCAAGGAGAGCUGCUCUUCAACAGAAGGGUUGUCUGCUGUUACAGACUCUGCAGCUGCUGUUGCCGGCUCUGUCUCUGCCAUUGCAGGCUCUGUUGUGGGCUUAGCAUCCCCAUUUUUGCUGAUAAGAAAAAACAUUUUACCACAUGAAAUGGCUGAUUUGGCACAGCUCACUUAACAUUGACAGGGAUUAACCCCUUUUGCUAUUUGAGGGUUUGAUGUGACAAAAAGAGGUUAACUGAAAAUAUGUUUUGACACCUGUCGAUAGUCAAAGUGUCUAAAUAAUAAUGACACAAUUGAUGUUCUUGUUCUUUGUUUAUGUUAUUAAAUAUUUUUAGCAAUGAAAAAAUUAAAUUUGAUAAUAAAAGUCACUUUGCAUUUA